UACGGGGGGAGCAAACGUUGUUCGGAAUCACUGGGCGUAAAGCGUGCGCAGGCGGCUUUGCAAGACAGAUGUGAAAUCCCCGGGCUUAACCUGGGAAUGGCAUUUGGGACUGCAAGGCUCGAGUGCGGCAGAGGAGACUGGAAUUCCUGGUGUAGCAGUGAAAUGCGUAGAUAUCAGGAGGAACACCGGUGGCGAAGGCGGGUCUCUGGGCCGAUACUGACGCUGAGGAGCGAAAGCGUGGGGAGCGAACAGG
rnacentral:rRNA from 1 species